UACGUAGGUGGCAAGCGUUGUCCGGAAUUAUUGGGCGUAAAGCGCGCGCAGGCGGUCCUUUAAGUCUGAUGUGAAAUCACGUGGCUCAACCACGUGCGGUCAUUGGAAACUGGAGGGCUUGAGUGCAGAAGAGGAAAGUGGAAUUCCAAGUGUAGCGGUGAAAUGCGUAGAGAUUUGGAGGAACACCAGUGGCGAAGGCGACUUUCUGGUCUGUAACUGACGCUGAGGCGCGAAAGCGUGGGGAGCAAACAGG
rnacentral:rRNA from 1 species